rnacentral:rRNA from 1 species
AACGAACGCUGGCGGCGUGCCUAACACAUGCAAGUCGAACGGGAUUGAGGGGCUUGCUCCUCGAUUUAGUGGCGCACGGGUGAGUAACGCGUGGAUAAUCUACCUGUAGAUCUGGGAUAACAUUCCGAAAGGGGUGCUAAUACCGGAUAAGCCCACGGGGUCUUCGGACCCUGCGGGAAAAGGGGGGCCGUUCGGCCUUCCGUCAACAGAUGAGUCCGCGUACCAUUAGCUAGUUGGUGGGGUAAAGGCCUACCAAGGCGACGAUGGUUAGCUGGUCUGAGAGGAUGAUCAGCCACACUGGAACUGAGACACGGUCCAGACUCCUACGGGUGGCUG